GCCCUACGGGGUGCAGCAGGCGCGAAAACUUUACAAUGCUGGGAACAGCGAUAAGGGAACCUCGAGUGCCAGGUUACAAAUCUGGCUGUCGUGAUGCCUAAAAAGCAUUAUAUAGCAAGGGCCGGGCAAGACCGGUGCCAGCCGCCGCGGUAACACCGGCGGCUCGAGUGGUGGCCACUAAUAUUGGGUCUAAAGGGUCCGUAGCCGGCUUGGUCAGUCUUCCGGGAAAUCUGACGGCUUAACCGUUAGGCUUCCGGGGGAUACUACCAGGCUUGGGACCGGGAGAGGUAAGAGGUACUACGGGGGUAGGAGUGAAAUCUUGUAAUCCCCGUGGGACCACCAGUGGCGAAGGCGUCUUACCAGAACGGGUCCGACAGUGAGGGACGAAAGCUGGGGGCACGAACCGGAUUAGAUACCCGGGUAGUCCCAGCCGUAAACUAUGCUCGCUAGGUGUCAGGGACGGUGCGACCGUUUCUGGUGCCGCAGGGAAGCCGUGAAGCGAGCCACCUGGGAAGUACGGUCGCAAGGCUGAAACUUAAAGGAAUUGGCGGGGGAGCACUACAACGGGUGGAGCCUGCGGUUUAAUUGGACUCAACGCCGGAAAACUCAC
rnacentral:rRNA from 1 species